rnacentral:rRNA from 1 species
UACGGGGGGCAAGCGUUGUUCGGAAUUACUGGGCGUAAAGGCUCGUAGGUGGCCAACUAGUCGGACGUGAAAUCCCUCGGCUUAACCGGGAACUGCGUCUGAUACUGGAUGGCUUGAGUUUGGGAGAGGGAGUGCGGAAUUCAGGUGUAGCGGUGAAAUGCGUAGAUAUCUGGAGGACACCGGUGGCGAAGGCGGCAAUCCUGGACCAACACUGACACUGAGGAGCGAAAGCCAGGGAGCAAACGGGA